rnacentral:rRNA from 1 species
UACGUAGGGUGCGAGCGUUAAUCGGAAUUACUGGGCGUAAAGCGUGCGCAGGCGGCGCGUUAAGUCAGGUGUGAAAGCCCCGAGCUUAACUUGGGAAUUGCGCUUGUGACUGGCGAGCUGGAGUGUGGCAGAGGGAGGUGGAAUUCCACGUGUAGCAGUGAAAUGCGUAGAGAUGUGGAGGAACACCGAUGGCGAAGGCAGCCCCCUGGGCUAACACUGACGCUCAGGCACGAAAGCGUGGGGAGCAAACAGG